rnacentral:rRNA from 1 species
UACGAAGGGGGCUAGCGUUGUUCGGAAUUACUGGGCGUAAAGCGUAUGCAGGCGGAUCGUUAAGUCGGGGGUGAAAUCCCGAGGCUCAACCUCGGAACUGCCUUCGAUACUGGCGAUCUUCGAGUCCGGGAGAGGUGAGUGGAACUCCGAGUGUAGAGGUGAAAUUCGUAGAUAUUCGGAAGAACACCAGUGGCGAAGGCGGCUCCAGCUGGCCCGGUACUGACGCUGAGAUACGGAAAGCGUGGGGAGCAAACAGG